rnacentral:siRNA from 1 species
GACAAUGUGGUGACCUUUCGGAA